rnacentral:rRNA from 1 species
UACGAAGGGGGCUAGCGUUGUUCGGAUUUACUGGGCGUAAAGGGCGCGUAGGCGGAUUUUUAAGUCAGGGGUGAAAUCCCAAGGCUCAACCUUGGAACUGCCUUUGAUACUGGGGAUCUUGAGUCCGGGAGAGGUGAGUGGAACUGCGAGUGUAGAGGUGAAAUUCGUAGAUAUUCGCAAAAACACCAGUGGCGAAGGCGGCUCACUGGCCCGGAACUGACGCUGAGGCGCGAAAGCGUGGGGAGCAAACAGG